AGUUAUUUAUUUUCAGUGUGUCAUCUUCUCUAAGUUUCUGAGGGAGUGUUAGCUUGAGGCCUUGCCUUGACAUAAUCAGAUAUAAUCAGAAAAAUGAAAAAUUCCAUAGGAAAGAACUAUUUUAGCCAAGGUGUGUGAGAGAAAUACCACCACUUUCAAGCACUGUUUUCUUCUACUGGAGCCUGCUCAAUAGGGACGUCAACUUUGCUGGGGCUUCCUUUGACAAGAGAAUCGGAACUGACUGGUGACAUUUGUUUCAAUGAAAGCAACGGUGUGAAUAAACUUGCAAUUUAUUCUGAUGAACAAUUUGUCCAGCUUAAAGGACUACAUAUGCCCCCUUUUCUUGUGGCUGUAGGGGCACAGCAAAGGUCACUGGGCUAACCUCCUUAAAGGGACUCUGCUGACAGAUCUUAGCCUGCUGCUGGAAAUGGCCCUCUCAGUGGACUCAUCGUGGCAUCGGUGGCAGUGGAGAGUCAGAGAUGGCUUCCCCCAUUGUCCAUCAGAAACCACACCGCUGCUCUCUCCAGAGAAAGGGAGACAGAGCUACAACUUGACACAGCAGCGGAUCGUGUUCCCCAACAACAGCAUAUU
rnacentral:sRNA from 1 species